UAAAGAAAUGUUUGUAUUGGAAAGCAAGCUAAAGGCUUGCAAGAGAGUUCAGUGCAAAAGAAUCCUGGUAAACAGGAUUAAACUAAAAGCUUUCAUUCCUAAGGAGUUUUGUCCUAGAAUAUGGGUGUCAUAUUUGCUUCAUGUUUUACAAAAGAGAACCUAACAGAACAGAGCUGGCUGGCUGGCUAAAAAAUUGUUAUAAAAAACCACAUCUUGAAUUCACAGAGGAACAUCCCUAGAACCACAUUGCAGGAACCAAUAAAAAUAGAGGAAUCACCCUCGCUAAUAACCUGUUGCCAUCCUCUGUUCCUUGCCAUUAUAAUAGCUUCUCAUUCUCUUUUGGAUUUAUGAUCACUUCCACAAGUGCAUGAUUCAUGAAGAAGAUUUCUUGUUUUAAGGAAAAUAAAACUAACGCAUAUAUGUUGUUUGAUAAGAUGUUUGAUAGAAGUUGAGUAACGUAUAUUUGUUGUGUGUGAAUGUUUUCUUUAGAAGUUUUUAACUUAAUUAGGGGUACUAUGGUCAUUUUUAUGUUUUACUAACACCAAUUUUAACAGGACUUUCUAUUUAGACGGUCGUAGAACUUAGGAAUUUAAGUGUUUGAUUUUAAAAAUAUAGAGAUGAAUCCAUUAAUUACGCCAAAACUCAGAGAGUAAAAUAUAAUUUACCCUUUGAAAUUUAAACUUCGUUUAGAUUUUUUUAGGAGCAAUUCAUUUGAGGGAGUAGGAAGGUUAGAUGGAGAUACUUUUUGUAAAGCUUAUCUAACAAUUUUCAGUGAAGCAAUAGCUAAAGACACAUAAGGGUACAAGAUGGUCAAUUUGCAGUCCCUCUAAGGCUUAUAAAAUAUACUCCUUCCUGCUGGAAGUUGAAUGCUCUUUUCAAGAGGUGUCUCAAACAGAAGGGUUUUUUUAGUUUACUGUGGGGGUGGGUUGGUGGAGAAGGUGAGCAUCCUGUGUGUGUAAAAGAAGGGCAUUAUUGGUGCACAAAACUUCCUGCUUUAAGCUAAACCUUGCCAUUGUGCCUGCACUUGCCUCAUUUUGACCUCCAUACGCUUCAUAAAGAAUAGUUGCAUGUUAGUGCUUAGUAACUCUCUCUCUCCCUCUCUCUCUCUCUCUGUGUGUGUGUGUGUUCUAAUUUUUCAUCAUUGCUGGAGAAAACAGCUGGUUAUGCUUAGUAGGUUAUUUAGGUUAAGCUCAUGUAACAGUUGGUUGAGGUAAUAAUCUAUAGUUUGUAGCUUUGAGAUUGUCAAGUUACCCACCUACUUGCAUGUUGCCAUGUUGCUUUCUCAUUAGUUUAUAUUAUCAAACACAUGCUAUGCUGGUCAGACAUAGGAUUACACAAGGCCGUAUCCUCAUUUUCUACUUUUGUUCGUAGUACUUAAGACUAUAAAUGUCUGCAGAUGAGUCUGAAGAUGGGAGUGAUAUUAUGGAAGCCUCGGAGGAUAAUGAGGAUGGAGAGGACACUUUCAUGCACAGAUAUUCAGAUGCUCUGAAUGAGGAACUGAAGGACACCACCCUUCAGAAGAGCUUUGUUCGUGCAAAUGAUCACUCCAACAAAAAUGAGGUAAUUUUCUCAUCUUUUUUGGUAGAAAUGAUCCCAUAUCAUGCCUUUGUAGAUGGGAGAUGCUUCCUCUUAUCGAGUCAUCAAGCUUCUGAAAAAUGGCAAUCUUUUAGUUUGUUCAAGUUCUUGCAAAAUUCUAGGUCUGCAUUCUUUAUGUAGGAGCCAUGCAACCGUAAGUAUUAAGCUUGUAUAGUUAUUACUGGGGAGCAGCAUGUUGCAUUUAUGUUAAUCGGCAUCCAUAAUCGCAUUUUCCGUUCUCGCCUCCUAGAUUUUAUCAAAAUAAUGUGAUGCAUGAAUAUAUGCCAAAUGCAGGGGACAUCAAAUGCUGGGAAGGACAUGGAUGAAGAAUUCACUCCAGUAGAUGUUGAUGUUAACUUGGUGAAGAGUCUUCUUGAUUCCUUUUCUUCCCAACAAGGACAAGCUGGUCCCGCGUCAAAUCUGCUUGGGCUCAUGGGUCUGCAGCUACCACAGGAUGGCAACAAAGGCAAAUGAAGCUAUCUACACUUGGUUUAUCUGGUGCAAUUGAGGGGAGGUUCAAAACAUUGAUAUUGUUAGAUGACCCUCUUGCAUUAACUUCAGAAUCAAUUGGGUAUCUUAGGUAUACUUUUCUUUGUUGACGAGUAUGUAAAUAGAGGCUACAUCUAUUGGGUAUUUCAAUCUAGUCGUAGUUGGAGAAUUGCGUUGCUUAUGGGAUUCAUGAAUAUUUAUUAUGCCAUUUCGAGCAAUUCCAGAGUGGACUGAUGGCUACAGAUCAAAGAGGAGACUUGUUAGAAAAUGUUUAAAAAAUUAAUUGAAAACUAAUUUUGACAUUAAUUAUAAAAAUAUUAAAAUAAUAGCACAGAUAGCUAUUAUGUUUUUUUAGAAAGCAAUUUUUAGAUUGCGAAGUGAGUUUGAGGCCAGGGCGUGUUUAGCAAUUAGCAUUACUGUUAGAACCGAACUGAUGUUGAGAAAACACUUUUUAAAAAUAUUAUUUAAAAAGUAAUUUAAAAUUAUUUUUAAUAUAACUUAAGUAUAAAAAUAAUGAAACAGUUUUAAAUAAAUGAAAAAAGAAAGUAUUUACCACGUUUAAAAAUAUGCCUUGGGAACAAGGGGGGAAAGCAUACACUUGUCAUGUAUAAUAAUAAUAGAAAUGUUUAAGAAGCAGUUGUAAUAAUUUUGGACUUGAUUGAACUUUAUUAUUAAAUUAAAAAAAAUAAGUAAGAAAAAAACAGUAGAGAUACUUUCCUAAAAGAUGACUGAAUAUUCCCUAAGUGUGGGUUGGAAUAGACCCAUAGAAACUCAAUAUGGGCAGUGAUGGUAAUGUGAUUCAUCCAACCAACCACAAACUGACAACUCAUGAAAGGCCAAUGGAAAUGGGAAAUUAUAAAAAAUAUUAAAAAAAUUGUUAUAAUUUUGUUAAGAAAAUUGUAAAAAAAUGUUUUCAUUCAAAGUAUGUUUCCUAAAAUAAAAUCUAAUGGUUUAUUUAAAAUUAAUUCAAAUCUCUCCGUUUCACUUUGUAGAGUCCUCUUUCUCGACAGAAAAGCAAACUGAGCUUGUGAAAGCCAAUGCCAAUAGGAGCUCUCCCUUUUGGUCAAUCCACACUGAGACGGAGUCUUCUCUAUACAUAUAAAGGAAAAAAGAAAGUACAAACUUCACCUGCACGAUACCCUUAAAUCAAACAUCUUCCCGAAUUCUAGCCAAGAAGAAGAAGAAAAUGGCGUCCCACACGAUUGAUUUGUUGAAGCAGGAACUUCCCGUCCAACAAGAUUCUUUGCUUCUCAAUGGCGAUGUUAAGACCGGACUUGUUCUUGUAGAUAUAGUUAAUGGUUUCUGUACCGUCGGCGCUGGCAAUUUGGUAUUCUUGGUUUUUUUUUUUUUUUUCAAAUGUAUAAUGUUUGGUGCAGAGAUUUUAAUCUUAAUUGUUUGUUGGAUUCUAAAGGCCCCAAGACAGCCUGACAUGCAAAUUUCUACGAUGGUUGAGGAGUCGGUGAGGCUUGCCAGAGCUUUCUGUGACAAGAAAUGGCCUGUUUUCGCUUUUCUCGAUUCUCAUCAUCCUGACAUUCCGGAGCACCCUUACCCUCCUCACUGUAUUGCUGGAACUGACGAGGCAAGACUCGUUCCAGGUAAAUGCUUCACUUUUCCGUUGACUUGAAUGGUCUGGGUUUUCUACUCUCAUGUUUGCUUCGUUUUGGUUUUUGCAAUCUGAAGAAUUGCAGUGGUUGGAGAACGAAGCGAAUGCCACGCUCAGGUGCAAGGAUUGCAUCGAUGGGUUUCUCGGUUGCAUUGAGAAAGAUGGCUCUAAUGUGUUUGUGGAUUGGAUAAAAGAUAAUCAGAUCAAAGUUGUAAGUAUUUUCUAUUAAUUUUCAGGAGAAUGCAAUUAAUGAAGAAAUGUUAAAUAAAAUUUCUUCCUUCCUGUCUAAUAUGGACUGCAUUAUCUGUUAUUGAAGAUAUUGGUGGUAGGGAUAUGCACAGAUAUAUGCGUGCUUGAUUUUGUAUGUUCAGCACUAUCUACCAGAAAUCGUGGUUUUCUUGCUCCUUUAGAGGAUGUGAUUGUGUUCUCUCGAGCUUGUGCUACCUUUGACAUUCCACUUCAUGUUGCCAGAGCUGUCAAAGAUGUUACAGCACAUCCACAGGUAUUGCGAACAAUUUAAUCACAGUUUGCUUGUGCCUACUUAUGUGUUCUCCAUUUCCAUCCAGUUUUGUGUAAAGGAACAAAAUCAAUCAUGUUAGGCCUUGUGCUAUGGAGCAGUAACUUGGAACAAAAACUAGGAAAAAACAGAAAUGGAAGGUUUCACAAGAGGACUUGAACUUCCUCAUUAUGGGCAUGAGGUUUCAUGGACACAAAGCAUAAAGGACGGAUGAGAGCAUAUUGGAUGAAAAUUGCUUAAUGCGGUUGGCUUCUCACAACAAAAAAACUCAUGCAUGUGAGAGAACAAGACAUAGGAGAACAAUAUAAUGUUUUAGAAUUAUGGUCCUAUGUUUUGAAGCUUUGCAGGAGGUUAGCGCCAAAAGUAGCUUUUUCUUUGGAUGGAAUGAGAAGCUGUAUAAAUUGGUGGUCUUGGACUAGUUACCAAUGUAAACUUUGCAGUGGCUGUAGAAGAAGAAGUGGGAUGCAAAGAUUGCUGACUUGUUCUAAAAGUGCUCUUUAAUCAAUGUUUGAAGUAGAAACUUUUUACUUGUUUGCUAUUUCAUCCUUUGCUAUUGCAGGAUUUCUUUUGGAAAAAGUUGUUUCUUUUUUUAGUAGCAAUAUGUACAGAAACUGCUGCAAAACAAACACACAAUCACAGAGAGAAACAGCAGAGAUAUUUGUUCCCAAUUCUUCUUUUUUAUUUGCAGGAACUGAUGCAUCACAUAGGCCUGUACAUGGCCAAGGGAAGGGGAGCUAAGGUAGUCUCAGAGGUGUCUUUUGGUGCACUGCAAUAACCAUGAUCUUGGCCCAUGAGUGCAAAAGUGUGGUUUUCUUAUGCAGAAAGAAGUGAUCUUAUAAAUAGAUUCUCUUUAAUGUCAGUUUAUUCGAGUGUAUUAUCAGAAUUCUUAUAUAAUAUGUGUAUAUAAGAAGAAUAGCAGUUUACUGUUGUGAGCUUCAUGAUAUAGAUCAGUAGCGUAAAUAGUCAGCUCUUUAUGUAAGUUGUUGGUCUCUUGGUAAGAACACAAUACAGAUGUUGAAUUCAAGAACUCAAAAUAAGAUAUUUAACCACAGGGAUCUAGAUAAAUAAAAUAAAAAAUAAUUCCAUUUGAAAUUGCUGAAAUAUUCCUGCUGUUUUCAUUAACUAUAAACAUCUCUAUCACAACAAAAUCAUUGCCUGCCACAAUCAAGGUGAAGCUUCAGCUUCUUGAAAAUAAACAUUUAGAAAAAAAAAAAAAAAAGACUAAAGCAGUAAACCAUUAAAAGCAAUCAAUUAUUCAUCCCUGUCCUGAAACCAUUGUAUUUCUUUUGCAGUACAGGAUGGACACAGGAGAGUAUUGAAUGCUUUUGCUUUUUUGGUUUGUUACCAAAGAUAAACGACCGCAAAGGAACUCCAGCCCGGCUGUCUGAGUGCUCCAGUUCGAUAUUUUGGUGAUUCUUUGAUUCACCAAGAUUGAAUUCCUCAUUCAACUUUGCCAGAGUGUUUUCAACUUCCAGCUGGAGUGUAGUAACAUGAUCCAACCCCGCCUGCAAUUCAUCUGCAACCUUGUUAUUCUCUUGUUUCAUGUUCAAAACUUCACCUCGGAACUUUGCAGCUUGGUAGCUUGUAAACUUGAAGUCAUCGUCUUCUGCGCUCUCCUUCAAAGCGGCAGUUAUUUCUUCUUGAAUGUCACACAAGGAUGAGAAUCUGCUCUUCAGUUCAUCCUUCAGCAGCACACCUUUUUCUAUCCAGACUGCUAAUUCAGUGUGAAUCUCUUGGAGGUGCUUGUAUAGCGGUUUUGCAUCUGAUUUCAGAGAAUACUUUGCAUUAGUGCUACUAUCUUGCUUCCUUUUUUCCUCAAGUUUCAACAACUCGGACUGUAAAUCUUUGAUUUCAGUUUCAAAUUUCUGAAUUUGAUACAAUGUAGUACUGAAUCUUAACCAGAAAUCUAAGUUCUCCUCUAGCAGUUCAUCAAUGCUUGUCCGGAAUUUUUCCUCAAUCGGUGAAAUUUCUGGCUGCUCCAUCAUCAUCAGAUCGACAUCAUCUAUCUCUUCUCUUUCUAAUUUUUGGGAUUCUGUCGAUUUUUCAGAUCCAUUGUCUUCACCCAAGCUCCUUUGGAGAAGGCUCAGCUUCUGAGUUAAGAUUUUGAUAUGUUCAUCCUUCUUUGCAUUAGCACUCCUCAGUUCUUUUAACUGCAACAUUAUGGCAAAGAGGUCAUCCCCAUUUUUGUUUUCUGCAUCAGCAAGCUGCUUCUUGGCUUCUUUAUAGCUCCGAAGAAUUGUAGUAUAUUCAUUCAGCAGAUUUUUUUCUCUAUUUCCCAAACCAUUCAUGAACAAAUGCUUCCAGUCUGGCUCAUCAUCUUGCUCUAUCACCUGCAGUGUUUCAAAAAGGAGAUUUUCCACAGCCUUUGCUGAAUCUUGCUUAUCAACUUUUUCAUCCAGGUUCAUGUCAUGAGAUUUCUCCAAAGGAUCAUCAAUUUCACCACUUGUCUGCAGCAGACUUGCAUCUUCUCCCCUAUUUCUGUUAGAGAUGCUGAGAUCAUGUUCUUUUAUCUCUUCCUUUUUCUCAUAUGUAGCCUUUUCUUUAUGUGAAGAAACUAAAACCCCGAUCUCCCCAGCUGACUUCACUUGUGGAGCAUCAAGAAUGCCGUCAGGACCUAGUGCACUUCCUCGUCCUGUGGAUUCUUCAUGUGAUCUACCUGAAACCUUGACAUCCUCAGGAUUGAGUUUUUCUUCUUGUUCUUGUCCUUGUCCUUUCAACUCAGCAUGCCCAUUGACUUCUGCAGAAAAGUCCUUUUCUUUGUGUGAAGAUUCUGAAACCUUGAGUUCCUCUGUACUAAGUCUUUCUUCUCGGUCGUUUGACUCUGCCUGUGAAUUGACUUCAGCAGGAAGUUUCUUCUCUUUCUCCAAAGAGUCUGGAACCUUGAGUUUCUCUUGUAGCUCCAUAUGUUGUGAUUCAUUAGGACUGUCAUUAAGACACAGGCCAACUUGUUGUCUUCUGAGUUCUUUACGUGGUUUACUUGAAACCUUGUGCCCCUUUUCUGACUUCAAUUGGUGUGGUUCAUGGAGGUCAUUUUUAUCAUUCAGAGCACCUUCUUGUCUGUUGAUGUCGCAGUGCACUUCUUCGUCAUGUGAUCUACCUGAAACCUUGAAAUCCUCAGGAUUAAAUUCUAUUCCUCCUCCUUUCAACUCAGCUUGCAAAUUGACUUCUGCAGAAAAUUCCUUUUCUUUCUGUGAAGAUUGUGAGAUCUUGAGGUCCUCCUUAUUAAGUUUUUCUUCUAGCUCCUUUGACUCUGCCAGUGAAUUGUCUUCAGCAGUAAGAUUCUUCUCUUUCUGCAAGGAGUCUGGAACCUUGAGUUCCUCUUGUAGCUCCACAGGCUGUGAUUCAUUAGGACUGUCAUUAAGGGACAGUGCAACUUGCUGUCUUCUGAGUUCUUUGCGUGGUUUACCUGAAACCUUGUUCUCCUUUUCUGACUUCAAUUUCUCUUGUUCGUGAAGGUCAUUUUUGUCAUUCAAUGCAUCUUCUUGUCUGUUGAUGUCUCCAUGCACUUCUUCGUCACGUGAUCUACCUGAAACCUUAGGAUCCUCUAGAUUAAAUUCUACUCCUUGUCCUUUCAACUCAGCCUGCAAAUUGACUUCUGCAGAAAAUUCCUUUUCUUUCUGUGAAGAUUGUGAGACCUUGAGCUCCUCCUUAUCAAGUUUUUCUUCUCGCUCCUUUGACUCUGCCUGUGAAUUGACUUCAGCAGUAGGAUUCUUCUCUUUCUGCAAGGAGUCUGGAACCUUGAGUUGCUCUUGUGAUUCAUUAGGACUGUCAUUAAGGGACAGUGCAACUUGCUGUCUUCUGAGUUCUUUACGUGGUUUACCUGAAACCUUGUCCCCUUCUUCUGACUUCAAUUUCUGUGGUUCAUGGAGGUGACCUUUAUCAUUCUGUGCACCUUCUUGCCUUUUAUCACCUUGUUGUUUACCUAAAUUCUUGCUAUCCGCUUCUGAGUUUGUUUUCUGCAGUUCAUGGAGGUCAUCAUUACCAUGCCAUGCACCUUCUUGUCUUUCGACAUCUAUAUGUUGUUUACCUAAAACCUCGCUCUUCUCUUCUGAAUUUAUUUUCUGCUCCUCAUGGAGGCUAUCAUUACCAUGCAGUGCACCUUCUUGUCUAUGAAGGCUAUUGUUACCAUUCACUUCACCUUCUUGACUUCUGACCUCUUGUUGUGGUUCAACUUCAACCAGAGGUUUCUGUUCUGUCUGUUGUAUGGCCUGGAGGCUAUCAUUAUCAUGCAGUGCACCUUCUUGUUUAUGGAGGCUAUCAUUGCCAUUCACUGCACCUUCUUGUCUUCUGACCUCUUGUUGUGGUUCAACUUCAACCGGCUUCGGUUCUGUCUGUGAUGUGGCCUGGAGGCUACCAUUACCUUGCAGUGCACCUUCUUGUCCAUGGAGAUUAUCAUCACCAUUCACUGCACGUUCUUGUUUUCUGACCUCUUGUUGUGGUUCAACUUCAACCAGAGGUUUCCGCUCUGUCUGUGGUGUGGCCUGAUGCUCCUCAUCUGGCUUCAAAUCAUGCAGUUUAUCCGAUAUGUGACCAAGAUUAUAGUGUGUUUCAGUAAAAUUUGUUUGAAGAAUAUUGUUCUGGUCUUCAAUAUUUCUGUUUAAUUCCUGAAGUCCAAGCAGCUUUACCUCCAUUUCCUUCAGCUUUUCUCUCAGAUCAUUUUUCCCAUUGAUUAAUGUUGCCUUGUCAUCCUCCAAAAUUCCAAUUUGUGCUUGAAGAUCAUCUGUCUCUGCUCUCAAUCUCUGUACGAGUGCCGUCUGUGUUGAAACUGCAGCUUCUAAGCUAAUCACCUUGUUCACAAGCCCGUCAAUCGUCUCUGCAAGUUCUGUCACACUGAGAGAUGCAUUAGAUUCCACCUCAAGGUGUUCCUUAAUUUUUGCACUUAACUUUUCCAAAUCCUUCCUCUCUUGUGUGACAAUGCUCGGUUCUUGGUCUAAGUUUUUCAACUCCCUAACUGCCUUCUUAGGUUUAUCUUUGGCUUUUGGCUUUUCAUGAUUGAUCUCACCAUUGAGAAACUCAUCUUUGAGAGACUUCAACUUCUCCCUGGCAUCAUUAAUCCGUUUGCCCUCAACCAUUGCUUCUCCUACAGAUUUCUCUUGUUUCUCCUCCAACCGAGCCAAUGUCUCCUGGCAUGAUUUCAAGGCUGCUGAAGCCAUCAAUUCCCGUGCCUCAUCAUCUUCAAUGACUGUGCCUGAGCCAAAUUCAUCUUGUAAACUACAAACCUUAGCCUGCAUUUCCCUGAUUUUCUCAUCAAUUUCCCAAUACUUUGCUAGCCCACCCUCAUAAGAACUCUUCGCAAAUUCCUUUUCAGUCUGCAAAGUCAGGAUUUCUUUCUGCAGCUUGUCAAUCUCCUUAAGCCCUUUAGAUUUGCUUAAACCAGAUUUUGGAACAUUAGCAGAAUUUGUUGUUUUCAUCGACUUCUUCGAUUGUAAAUUCUUCGGUGCUGAGUGUGAGAUACCCUUUACCUCUUUGGGAGUCUUUGGAACCUUUGGGACAUUUGUUUUUGAGGCUUCUUGAGACUUCUUUGGGAAUCUUGGUGGGGCACGAUCUUCCUCAUCUUCCAUAAAUUGAACUUGCUCUGGAAACACAGAAGCAAUGGUAUUAUUGGCAUUUUGUAGCUCUGUUGAUAUGUGAUCAUACCGUUCAGCUAAGGCUCGGUAUGCUCUGAAAGAUUCUUCCACAAAAUAUAUCAGCUCCGGCCGCCUUUUAUAAUACAUUUCUGCCCUCUUUGCAAAGGAGUCUCCGUCCUCUUCGAUGAGUUUGAGCAUAGUCUGGACCUUCUCUUCCAUAUCUGCGAAUUGAAAUUUGUACUGUCAGCAGUAUUUUAGUCAUGCAAUGAUGAAUACUGGGUUAUGACUUGGUGUAUGAAUAUAUUCAUCAACUUGGUGUGCACAAGGAAAAAUCCAUUGAGCCUUUUUUUUCCCCUCAUUUUCUAUACUGAGCCAUUAAAUUUAAUUUUCAGGGUUUUGCUAUUUAACAUGUUUUUGCCAAUAUUUCAGCAAAAAAUCUAAACCAAGUCAGAUUUUGGGAAAUUAAAACCUCAUCCAGGUUUUCAUUUUUUUCAUUUUGAUUGGGUUAACCUGGAAUACAAGAAAAAUACUAAAUUCUAUUGAAGCAUAAAAUGAAGAUUGCCCUUUUCAUCAGAAUUAAGUUCUCCUCUGAUUACAUUUUCUUAUUCACAUGCUUCUAAAUUAUAAAUGGCUUCAAUAAAUCAGAUUAUCAUAAGCCUUCUUUUUCUGGAAUUGCAUUGUUUAAUCUUUAAACUAGAUAAACAAAUUCCAAUCAUAUCAAAAAAAUUAGAAUUUCUCAUAAAUUCAAGUAUUUGCAACAUUAAAAAAAAAAGUAUCCAAAUGGGUGCUACCCACUAAUCAUAGAACAUCUAGGGAUCCAAUUUCAAGCUGCCAAAACCCAGUUCUCGAAAUCACAGGGAAAGAGAGAGAAAAGUUACCUAGAAGGUUUUGUUCCAGCCAUUUUGAUUGCUUAGUUCUGAUGUGGCUUGCCAUCCACCAUGAAUAAGCAUUGCUUGCAGCUCUCUGCAACAUCUUUUGUUCUCUAAUCUCUCUAUCUCUCUAGACCAGAAUAUAUGCAACCCCUUAUUUAUUUUCUCUUCAACAACAAGGAUACAAGACAUGGAACCCAAUACCCUUUGUUUCAAGAGAGAGAAAGACAAGAAAUUUAAUGAAUAAAAUAAAAAAGAGGAGUCUUUGAAAUGGGAAGAACACAAGACUUCUACAAGAAACGUGCGAGAAAGAAAGGAAUGAGGCAUCUCUGUGUUAAUGUACGUUAUGGAUAAAAACUAAAUAUGGGAUCAUGGAGGAGAGUAAUUUUCGCCUGGAGUUACUUGCACAACCUUCCCUUUUAAAUAAAAAUCAAUUGAAAAAAUUGCUAAUAUCAUAGAAAAUAAAAAAAAAAAUUAAAAGACAAAAAAAAAAAAGAAUUGAGUAGUUAUAAUUCUCAUGGUUUUGCCUUUCCAGAGUGUGGCAGAGCAUCUACUUUUCCUUUUUUUUCUUUUUUUCUUUUUUCUUUAUAGACUUGCCUUUUCUAAUAUAUGGAAAAAUCAACCAGCAUUAUUCAUUAUUAUGGAUAAAAGUUGAUGAAAAAAAUCUGAGUCACCCACCCUAGAGGUUCUCAUAUUUAAAAAAAUAAAUUAAAAAGUUAUUUUUUUGUUUAACUAAAUAAAUAUUUAAUAAAUUAAAAUUAUAAUUUUUAUUAAAUUUAAUUCUGUAAUUAUAUUGUAUUUAAAUUUGUUAAAUGUAAAUACUGAUCUCCUAAAUGUAGAGAGGGGUUUGCCCCUCAUUCAACCAGAUUGGCUUUCCAAAUGGAUUAGAUAUAAAAUUUGUUAUUGGUGGAGAUCUCAUUCAACAGAGUAUUGAAUUUGAUAUAAAUUUAUAUAAUUUUUUUAAUAUUAUAAUAGUAUAUAAAUUAAUUAAUAUAAUCUUAUUUAAUUUAAUUUAAUUUUUAAUUUUUUUUAAUAUUUUAUAAAAGGUAAUUUUUUAUUUUUCAUUUUUUUAAAAAGGAAGCAUUCUGCAGGAAAAAAGAUAAAUCAUAUAGGCUUCAAUUUUGGAGUGAAGAUCAAGCAACUCAAAAGGGUCCAAAAAGGUCACAUCUUUGACUCUAUAGGUAGGCUAGGAAAAUGUGUUUAAGCUUUGGAGAAAUAAAUAAAAAGAAAAUAUAAAAUUUUGCAAAAUAAAAAAGAUGGUUUUACAUAUAAACCAUGAGAUUAAUAGUAGGAGUGCUAAUAAGUUACUAAUAAAUUUCGGUCAAUUGGACUUGUAUAGUCAUCAAAUCAAUUAAUCCAAAUACUAAUUAAAUUCUACAAUCGUAUUGUAAUUUUCACCCGUAUACGUUAAAUUUAAGUAUUUAUUGUAUUGUAAUUACUAAAUUUAAUUUAAUUUUAAUUAUUAAAUUUAAUUUUAUAUCAUAAAAAUUAUUUAUUUUUUUAUUAAAAUUUUAAAUAAUAUCAUCUCAUAAAAUUCCUGGUUGUAUUUCUUUAUAACUUCUCUUAUAUGAAUAAAAUUAAAAGAAAAGAGUUCUUCCUGUAACUAUUUCUUUAGCCUAUAUAGCAAAUGAUUUUUUUAUUUAAUUUAUGUAAAAUAAGUUAAAUUUUAUUGAAUUACUGUUUAAAAUUUAAAUAGUGAAUUAAGUGAAUAAAACACUAAAAUUCAGUAAUCAGACAAGAGAGUUUGAAAUGGACGUGGCAGGUGGAGAGCUGAGUAAGAUGAUUAGAGACGGCCACGUAUGGAGUAUUUGCUUGCUUUAAUGGAAUUUUAUUAGAAUUUAAAUGUAAUUUUUAGAUAAUUAAUUUACGUAUUAAAAAAUGUUGAAUGAGUUUGAGUAGAAAUAGACUUCAUCUUGGGCAUAUCUCCAUGAUGAUAGGUAUUAUCACCAAUUCAUGAGUUUCGUGAUAAUUCACUACAUCAAACUUUAAAAAGCAAUUAAUUAUCAAGGAAGAGAAGAAUCCAUAGUCAAUGGGUGAAGGAAAUUAGCAAUUGGUUAUGAAAACGAUAUGCAAAAUUUCAUUACAUUAUUUUUUUAACAAAAAUAUUUUAUGUGGAUUAAAGUAUGAUACACAAAAAAAUUAUUUAAAUUUUAUUAAAAAUAGUUAAAUCAUGGUAAGUAAAAACUAUUUUAACGUAAUUUUAUAAAAUAUUAGUAAUGUGAUUGAGAAAAAGUUACACCAUCAAUUUUUCAAAAAAAUAAUAUGAAAUGAUUGAAACGUAGAACAUUCAUUUUGAUAUUUAAAUUAAUAAUGAGAGAUUUAUAAUUUAAUCCUUAAAUAUUGUUAUUAUUAACAAGUCAAUCCCUAUAUUUUUAGAAAUAUAUUAAAACGUUCUUAUCUUUUAUUUUUAUCAACAAAAUAGUCAUUCCGUCUAUUUUUACCGUUAAAAAUAUAGUAAAAAACUAAAUUACCCCCCAUUAUUUUCCUCCUCCUCCUUCCUUUUCUUCUUCAUCAAUUCUUCCUCCUUCUGCUUCUUCUUCUGCUUCUCCUUCUGCUUCUUCUUCUUCUUUUUCUUCUUUUUUUUCUUCUUUCUCUUCUUUUUCUUCUUUUUCUUCUUUCUCUUCUUUCGCUUCUUCUUCUUCUCCUUCUUCUCCUUUUUCUUUCUCUUCUCCUUCUUCUCCUUCUUCUUUCUCUUCUUCUUCUUCUCCUUCUUCUUUUUCUUCUUCUUUUUCUUCUUUCUCUUCUUCUUCUUUCUCUUCUUCUUCUUCUGCUUCUUCUUCUUCUUCUUCUUCUUCUUUUUCUUCUUCUCCUUCUUCUCCUUCUUUUUCUUCUCCUUCUUCUUCUCCUUCUUCUUCUUUUUCUUCUUUUUUGAAGGAAGAGGAGGAGGAGGAGGAGGAGGAUGAGGAGAAAAGAAAAGAUAAGGACUAUUUCGUUGACAAAAAGAAACGAUAAGGAUAUUUUAAUAGAUUUGAGCAAAGACAGGGACUAUUUUGUUGACAAACAGAAACAAUAAAGACGUUUUAAUAGAUUUCUAAAAAUAUAGGGAGAGACGAUUUCGUUAACGGAAAGAAACGAUGAGGAAAGACUAUUUCGUUGAUGGAAAGAAACGAUAAGGAUGUUUUAAUAGAUAUGAAAAAAGAUAGGGACUAUUUUAUUGACGAAAAGAAAUGAUAAGAACGUUUUAAUAGAUAUGGAAAAAGAUAAAAAUGUUUUAACAGAUUUUUAAAAAUGUAAGGACUAACUUAUUAAUAAUAACAAUAUCCAAGAGCAAAUGAUUUUAUUUGAGUGUAAAAUUGGAUUUUAAAAAUUUUCUCUAUCAUCCUUUAUCUAAUUUUAACGGAAAAGAGGACGUAAUGACUAUCUCGUUGACGAAAAGAAAACAUAAGGAUGUUUUAAUAGGUUUCUAAAAAUACAAGAACUGACUUGUUAAUAAUAGCAAUACUCAGGGACUAAAUUGUAAAUCUCCCAAAAAAAUUAGAAAAAAGUGCUAGUGUAAUAAAUUAUUUAAAAUUUAAUAAUAAUUGUGUAAAAAUAUGUAUUUACACAAUUAUUAUUAAAUUUUAAUAAUAAUUAGCAAUUGGUUAUGAAAACGAUAUGCAAAAUUUCAUUACAUUAUUUUUUUAACAAAAAUAUUUUAUGUGGAUUAAAGUAUGAUACACAAAAAAAUUAUUUAAAUUUUAUCAAAAAUAGUUAAAUCAUUGUAAGUAAAAACUAUUUUAACGUAAUUUUAUAAAAUAUUAGUAAUGUGAUUGAGAAAAAGUUACACGAUCAAUUUUUCAAAAAAAUAAUAUGAAAUGAUUGAAACGUAGAACAUUCAUUUUGAUAUUUAAAUUAAUAAUGAGAGAUUUACAAUUUAGUUCUUAAAUAUUACCAUUAUUAAUAAGUCAGUCCCUAUAUUUUUAGAAAUAUAUUAAAACGUCCUUAUCUUUUCUCUUCGUCAACAAAAUAGUCAUUCCGUCUAUUUUUACCGUUAAAAAUAUAGUAAAAGACUAAAUUACCCCCAUUAUUUUCCUCCUCCUCCUUCCUUUUCUUCUUCAUUAAUUCUUCCUCCUUCUGCUUCUUCUUCUGCUUAAGACAGGGACUGUUUUGUUGACAAACAGAAACAAUAAGGACAUUUUAAUAGAUUUUUAAAAAUAUAGGGAGGGACGAUUUCGUUAACGGAAAGAAACGAUGAGGAAAGACUAUUUCGUUUAUGGAAAGAAACGAUAAGUACUUUUUAAUAGAUAUUUUGAUAGGGACUAUUUUAUUGACGAAAAGAAAUGAUAAGAACGUUUUAAUAGAUAUGAAAAAAGAUAAAAAUGUUUUAAUAGAUUUUUGAAAAUGUAAGGACUAACUUGUUAAUAAUAACAAUAUCCAAGAGCAAAGGAUUUUAUUUAAGGGUAAAAUUGGAUUUUAAAAAUUUUCUCUAUCAUCCUUUAUCUAAUUUUAACGGAAAAAAGGACGGAAUGACUAUUUCGUUGACGAAAAGAAAACAUAAGGAUGGUUUAAUAGGUUUCUAAAAAUAUAAGAACUGACUUGUUAAUAAUGACAAUACUCAGGGACUAAAUUGUAAACCUCCCAAAAAAAUUAAAAAAAAGUGUGAAUGUAAUAAAUUAUUUAAAAUUUAAUAAUAAUUAUGUAAAAAUAUAUAUAUUAAUCUUAAUAUUUAUUAAAUUUUAUACCGUAAGAAAAUAAAGUUGAUUAUUAAAUUUAUUAAAAAUUCGACUCAUACUGGCUAAUAAAUAAAAAAAUUUCACGGUUAUAAAUAUAAUAUAAUCUACUAAAUGGUAUUUUUUAAUAUUUUUUAGUGAUAAUUUUUCGUAAAAUCUAAUUCUAUUGAAAAAAAAGUGUAAAAUAAAAAAUUACGAUGUUCGAAUUUUUUUUUCACAAAUAAAAAGUGCUUAUUAACUAAUGAGUUAUUUUAGACGAUCAAUUAAGUUAUUUUAGACGAUCAAUUAUUUUAAACCCUAAUAAAAUGUUCAAAUAAUUUAUGAAAAUAAAUAAAUUCUGCAUUAACUUUUUUAUUUUUUUAAUAAUUUACUUAUUCAUAAAGUCCAUAAAUUUUAAUAAAAAUUUAUAAUACCUACCAAAAUGACUUAUUAUGAGGGAUGGAGUCACGUUGGGGCAAGAGUUACGGAACCUCCUAAAAAAUUUUAAAUUAUAUAAAGAUAUUUAAAAUAGUUUUAUAUAAUAAAAAAAUUACCAAUAAAUUUUUAUAUAUUUAAAAAUUUUAUUAAUUAGUAUUUAUUUUAAAAUUAUUUAAUUAAAAUAUUUUUUAUUUUAUAAAAUUAAAAUUUUUAACUUUUUUAUAAAUAAAUUUUUAUCUACCUUUAAUAUUAUUUAAUUCAUUUAGUUUUAAUUAUUUAUUUUAUUUUAUCUCUUUCAUUUAUAUUUUUUCUAAUUUAAAAUAACUUUUUUAUAAAUAAAUCAAGUAUUAUUUUUUAUAAAUAAUAGGUUAGAUUAUGUAAAUUUAGAAAAAUAAAUGACAAAAUAUUGUUUUUAUAAUUAAUAGAUUAGAUAAUUUAAUUUUUAAAAAAUAAAUUUUAUAAUAAAUAUUAUAUUAUUUUAACAGUAUUAUUUUUAUGUGUUUAUAUGUCAUUAGCAUAAUAGUUUUUUCAUAAUAAAUAUUAUUAAAAAUUAAUUUCAUAAUAAAAUGAAGAAUUAACUCUUGAUCGGUUAAUUAUUAACUUAUAUCAAAAUAUAUAUUUAUAAAUAUUAAAAAUAAAAUUAUUAUUAUUAUAUUUUAAUUAAUAAAAAAUAAAUAAAUUAUAAUUUAAUUAUAAUAUUUUUUAUUUUUUUAUAAAUUUUUUAAUAUUAUAUAUUAAACAGAAUCGUUAUAUAUAUAAAUAUUGAGAGCACAUGCUAUCAUAUGAUGCAGAUUUGUUCAAGUAUAUAAUAAAUGUAAUUAUUGCAUACAUAGUUCUUAGGUGUUAGUGAAUUAUAUAACAAAAAUCUAUGAUUGUGAUUUGUGAUUAUUCAUUGUGAGGCAGAAUCAUGAUUGAUUAUUAAAUUAUUCAAUCAUGCAUGUUUAUCCUUGGCAUAACAAUGCAAUUACCUACUCAUUAUUCUUUAAUUUUUCCCAUUUGAAAAAGUUAAUAUAUAUAUAUAAUAUAAUUGGGAAAAGGAUUUUUAAUUAUUAUUUUAAUUAGCAGGUGGAAAGAUGGAAACAAUGGCCAUGAUGUGCUCAUUACGUCGUUGGAGCAUUAAAGGAUUGCACCACCAAUAUUGGCCACCCUUCCUACAUGGUUCAUAAAGGACAAGGAUGAUAGACUACACUCAUGUUUUUUACUAUUUAAUUUAAAAUUAAAUUAAAUCAAAUAAAUUAAAAAUUAAAAAUUUAUUAUUUUUAAAAAUUAAAUUAAAUUAAUUUUAAAUAAAAAUUAAUUUAAAUUGAAUCAGUCUGAUUCAGUUCGAUUCAAUUUAAUUUAAUCAGUUUAGACUUUACAAUGUGUAUUUUAUUUUUUAGAUUUCAUUUUUAAUAUUUUAAAAUUUAAUUGAAGUAUUUUAAUCUUAUUAUAGUCUAAUUUAUAGAAAUGUAUAUGUUUUUAGGCAUUUUUUAGAGUAUUUAAGAGUUGUAAAAGUUAUAUUUGAUUUCUAAUUUAAUCCAUCAGUAUAGGAUUGGAUUUGGGAGACCGUAUAGGUCAGCAGAAAGACAACUGUUUCAGAACUAGACUUGCGUUAGUCAGAGGUGAGUAGAAUCAAAUUAAACUAUUAUUUUAAAGCAAUCAAAUGUUUUAAGCAUGUUCAUGCGCAUGAAUGCUAUAUGUUUAUGAUAAGGAUUGGAUUUGGGAGACCGUAGAGGUCAGCAGGAAGAUAACUGUUUCAGAACUAGACUUGCGUUAGUUAGAUGUGAGUAGAAUCAAACUAAAUUAUUAUUUUAAAGAAAUCAAAUGUUUUAAGCAUGCUCAUGCGCAUGAAUGCUAUAUGUUUAUGAUAAGGUUAUUUUGCAUUAGAAUUUACGAAUAUAAUACUUUUCACAAUUAAUUAUUGUUCUAGAUGGAUUUUGGAUAGCCCUCGAGCAUGUUAUAUUAUGUAUGACGGAUAUAUAAGUUCAUGUCGAGACUUGAUGUUCUAGGCCACUGACACCCGAGCUGCAAUCGAGCCCUUAUAGGAGAGUCAAGCCCAAAGCCUAUCAGAGCCCACUACGCAAGCUAGCCCAUUAGCACACAAUAUAACCCACAAUCGAGUAGGCCGAGCUGAUCGGAGCCCGCGCUCAUCCAAGAGAGACUCAGCUCAUCCAAGAGAUACAAGCUAUGCCACGGGAUCAGCACGAGCGUCAGAAGAGAAUUAAAUGGCCGCCUGACAAUGGUAAAAGGCAAGUACGUCUAUAUGUAGGCUCUGUCUGAUAGCGACAUGUGACCCUAUAAUAGGGUGACGGUUAUGCAUUACUAGAGGAGAAGGAAAAAAGGAAUAAAAGAGAAAGGCACGAACCAUUCAAGCUAACCUUAUACACUCAUAUCAAAACCUUACUUUUUUUUGAAUCUCAAAUCAUCAAUUGGUGCCGUCUGUGGAAAACGAAAGAGAUCUUUCCGUCGCUGGAGUUUUCAUUCUCAUAACACCCACUGAGAUCCAUAUAGCCAACCACAACGAAAACCAUACCACCAAUACCCCAAACGGACCCGAGUUCCACUCAUGAAGGUCAAUAAUUCUUGUUCUUCAGCCCCACAGCCUCAUGGAACCAACCACCCAUAUUGUUUAACCCCUCGCCAAGCUCGGCAGAGAAUGCACCUUGAACCACCCUAUCUGACCAAGAGCUACAAAAUAUGGCUCUCCAGCUUCAAAAUACCGCCUCUGGCUAGGUCAAGUGCUGUAAUAGAGGGGUCAACACCCCGCUGAAUAUACCACUUGUAAUCGAAGGCUAAAGUGAACCCCAACCCCACCUUAAACCACUAAGUUUCCCAACAAAGCAGCCGAAGGACGGACGAAAGAAGUGGAGAGGCCGGCAGGAAAAAUGAGCCUGCGGCUAGAGCAAGGUAAGAGAGCUCAUAAAAAACGAUGAAGUUGAGAGCUAUUCCACUGCUCCAACGAGAAGGUUAGAGAGCGAAGAGUUGGAGAGAGGAUACCGUAUGGAAAAGAGACUGGGGCAGGAAGAAACAGAUGUAGACCAAAAAGAUGGAAAGGCUUUACAACUUCUAGCUGAACUAGAGGCACAAGACAAUAGCUAGACUCUGCUGCCUACAUCCUCUUCUUUUCGAUAUAAAUAAAAUGGUCGAUUCUACGGCCGGUUUUAAUUACAUGUCAUCCCUUGAUGCUAUGUCAGGAUAUCACCAAAUUUCCAUGGACAGGUCAGAUGAAGAAGAAAAUACCUCAUUUAUAACCGAGAAUGGAACGUUACAAUAAGGCAUGCCCUUCGGGCUGAAAAAUGCAGCGGCGACGUAUCAACGAUUGAUGAAUAAGAUUUUCAAGAGCCAGAUAGGGAGGAACGUGAAGAUUUACAUCAAUGACAUGGUAGUAAAGAGCCAAACCUUCCAGCAGCACUUGGCCAACAUGAAAGAAGUAUUCGGCGUGUUAUAGCACUUGGCCAACCUGAAAGAAGUAUUCAGAGUGCUACAACAAUACAGAAUGAGGCUAAACUCGGUGAAGUGCGCCUUUUUAUUAGAGGAGGAAAGUUCCUGGGUUACAUGAAAAAGCUCACAGGAAGAGUGGUGGCACUUAACCGGUUCAUGUUUUGGUCUGCAGAAAGGUGCCUACUGUUCUUCAAAAAACUGAGGAAAGUCCCGAACUUCAAAUGGACAGAAAAUUGCCAAGAAGCCUUUAAAAACUUCAAGCAAUACCUCAGUUUACUACAUGUGCUAAGCAGUCCUCUAACAAGAGAAGAACUCUUGAUAUACUUAGCCAUCUCAGAACAAACCAUAAGUGUUGUGCUGGUAAGAGAGGAAGCAGGGGAGCAGAAGCCUAUAUUUUACAUUAGCAAAAUGCUCAAGGGUGCUGAGGUCAAAUACAUGAAAAUUGAGAAAUUGGCAUUUGUCUUGUUGCUGAUAGUAAGAAAAUUCAGAGUGUACCUGGAAUGCCACCAAUGAGUAGUAAUGACAGACUCUUGAAGAAAAUCAUGCACAGACCUGAAACUUCAGGAGGGAUGCUGGCUUGGUCUGUAGAAAUCAGCCCGUACUACCUCAUAUACUGACCUUAGACGGCUAUCAAAGUCCAAGCCUUAGCUUUAUAGCUGAGUGCUCUUUCAGCUCGGAUCAACAUGAACAGAGUGAGGGGUUACCAAGCUCAACCGAAAGAAGGGAUGGGGACCAACAACUGCGUGAGUUCAGUUGAAAUCUAAUUGUAGACGGAGCAUUCAGCAUCGCGGGCAAUGGGGUAGGAAUACUUUUGAAAGGAUCAGAGGGAUUCAGGGUCUGCUAUGCGGCACUUAGAGUUCGCAAUAUCCAAUGGAGUUCGCAACAUCCAAUGGUUGAGUAUGAAGCCCUCAUAAAUGGAAUGCAAAUAGCAUUAGAAGUAGAGGCAAUCGAGCCCUGGAAGCUGAGCUCGGCGAACAGGAGAUUGCCGUGCAAUAUCAAAGGAUACCCCAGGAGGAAAAUGAAGAAGCAGGUAUGCUCAGUAGACUGUCUGAAGAAAAAUUAGAAUAGCUCCCAGAUCAAGUAUGUUUACAUACAACACAUUGAAAUAGUCCAUGUGGCUGAGAGCCCUCACAGCCCAGGCACAACGACGCAAUUAUCAGGGGCGCGCUCUACCACUGAGCUAAUAGCCCGCACGACGAACCUCCCACCGGGGACCGCUAUGCCAAAAUAUUAAUGUCCUACUUUCGAGAAAUCAGCCCCCAUAAUGCAGAUUGAAGAACGAAGUUAGAUGACCGUACACUUGGAAUACUUGGAGGCAGAAAAAUUGCCGAAAUACAAAGCAGAAUUUAGAAGAAUCACGGCUAAGGCUGCCAAUUAAAAAGUAGUGAGAGGAGGAGGCCACCAAGGUAGUUCGGAAAGUGCACCAGGAAAUUUUGUGGGGCUCAUGAAGGAGCAAUUACAUUGGCAAACAAAAUUUUCAAGUAAGGGUACUACUAGCCUACAAUUAAAAAAGAAGCAAAAGAGUUCGUCAGGAGAUGUGAUGUCUGCCAGAGGUUUGCUAUAAUACCCGGCUAGAUUCCGGCAUCGGAAUCCCUACCUUCCGGCGGAAUCUCUGUUGGAAUCUGGAAUUCUGAAGAUGCCAGAGGCUUCUAGAGGGGUAAAAUGUGUUUUUAAAAUGUUUUCACAUGAUUUUAUGGUUUUAAAUGGGAAAAGAAUUGAGUUUUGAAAAGAAAAGACCAAGGAGGCGUUUGCCAGGUUCGGCCGCCGAAAGUGAAGUUCGGCCGCCGAACAUGGAAAGGUUUUGGGAGCGCUUUUGGCCUCCGAAAGCUUUGUUUGAACGAGCCAAGGUUCGGCCGCUGAGUUCAGCCGCCGAACAUGCAUGAGUUUAGGGGGCACGUUAGGCUGCCGAAGGUCGUUGACCAGGCCACCUAUAAAGAGCCCUCAGAUCGGAAAUGAGCGAGUUUUCUCCCCAUUCUCGAGCUCAGGUGAGUUUUUGUCCUCCCUUGGCCGUUUUCAUGUUUUUCUUCAUUUUCUUCAUGUCUUUAUGAGUUUCAUGGUUGUUUUGAAGAGUUUUCGAGCUUAGAUCUAAGUUUUGGGAGCUUGGAGACCCAAUGAGUAGUUUCCUCCCAUCCCCAAGUUAGGGAUCACACCUGUAACAGCCCGGAAACCGGUAACCCUCCGUAACGGUCCGAACCAUCACUGGCACUAGGAUUCAGAUCGGCUUAAGGCCGCCAGAACGCGUAGUAAGCCGAACAUAAACUUGAUCCAUAAACCCUCAAAAAUACACUUUUUACCCUAAACAUGCAACUCUAUCCAUAACCUCCUCAAAACCUCCAUAACUCAUCAAAAGAAGUUCAGGAUCUGCACUUACCUCUUGAAAUCAAGAAGAUGAACGAUCCUAACUGGAAAGUAUGGAGCUUCUUUCCUUUACACUCUCUAAACCACAAAACUUCUCUUUUUCGCUCAAACCCAUCAAAACAACAUGAAAACCAAUCCAACCUUUGCAAGAUUUGCUAAAACCAUGAAACAUGCCCAUGGAGGACCUGUGCUUACCUCUAGAAGUGAAAAGACAAGCUCUACUUAUCCAUUUCACCGACUGGAGGCGUUUAUCUAGGUGGCAAACCGACUCAGCUUCGGCAGCCUAACCGCAUGCAAAACCAUGCAACGUUCGACGGCCGAACUUGGAGUUUCGGAAGCCGAAUCUAAGGCCCUUUCGGCGGCCGAACUUUACUUCGGCGGCUGAACCUGGCCAAAUCCUCCUUGGUCUUUUCUCUUCAAAAAUCAAUCCUAUGCCACUCUAAACCGGUAAACUACUUGGAAACAUUUUAGAAAAACUUUCUCUUACCCUUCUAGAGACCUCUGUCAUCCUCGAAUUCCACCGGACGGUCGGCAUUCCGAUGCCUGAUCUAGCCGGGUAUUACAACACCAACCCUCGAUCUUCAAGAGGUAAGUGUAGAUCUUUGCUUUCCUUUAUGUUUUAAUGAAGUUUUAAGAGGUUUAAUGGUCGAGUAUGGGUAGGUAUGCAUGUUAAGGUUUAUGUAAGUUUUUAUGUAAAUGUAUGUUUAGGGGUGUUUAUGUGAUGAUAUGUUGGAAGUUUAAACUAGUAUAUGCAUGUGGGAGUGAGUAUGCAUGAUGAGGAGAGAGUAUGUGAGGAUUUGGGUUGUUUUAGAGCAAAUGCAUAAGGUUGAGGGUUUAUGUUACCCUUUAUGCAAAUGUGUGUUUAUGUAUAAUGAAUGUAUUGUUGUUGAGGUUUAGGAUAGUUUGAGACCCCUAUGUGCUUGGUUGCAUGUUGUAGAAUAGUCAAUGCAUGUUUUGGAAGGUUUGGAGGCUGUUGUGCAUGUGAAAGCUGAGUUCUGCCCUUCUGGGAAGAACUCAGGUUCAGCCGCCGAAAGUAGUUUCGGCCGCCGAACCUGCCUGUGGUAGCUUGUUUUGGCUGCCGAACCCUGCCCCCGAAAGUUGGACUUUCGGCUCUGGAAGGGAGUUUCGGCCGCCGAAGGUGCCACCGAACAUGCAUGAGUUUCGUCUCUGGAAAGGGGUUUCGGCCGCCGAACCUGCAUGACUUUCGUCUCUGGAAGGGACGUUCGGCCGUCGAAGGUGCCGCCGAAAGUGUCCUGUCCAGCCUUUUCAAGGUUGUUUUCUAUGCAUGUUUAAGUGAUGUUUAGAGAGGUUUUUGGGUAGUUGUUUACGAGUUGUUUAGAGUGUGUUGGCACCUCAUUCGAGUCCACCUGUGUAGGAUCGGACCCGAGGGACCGAGGAGGCCAUCAGUAUUAGCAGUUGCAGAGUCAGUUCAGCGUCUGCCAGAGGUGAGUAGAACUAAACUUAAUCUUUAUUUUACGAAAUCAAAUGCCUAAAGCAUGUUCAUGCAUCAUGUUUAUAUGUAAUAGGUUGAUUGCACUAGUCACACGAAUAUGACGCAUUGCAUUAUUUACUGUUGAUGUGGAUGGACCAAGGCGACCCCAAUAGCCCUAGCUAUGUUAUAUUAAUGAAGUCCUGAGGAGGCCGAAGGGCCGGACAUAAUUAAGUCCUGAGGAGCCCGAAGGGCCAGGCACCAUGUUAUGUUACAGCCAAAGGGAGUUUUGGUGGUCAUGUCCAAUCCGUUAUGUGAACUGUUUGUGCUGUGACGCAUUUCAUAAAAGCAUGUAAUUAAUGAACUGUUUUUCUGUUUCUACUCAAUGGGCUUUUUAGCUCACCCCUCUCCCCUAACCCCAGUUUUGCAGGUCAGAGGUAGACCAGGAAGACGUCAAGGGUAAAAGUCUUGUAAUAGUAAUAGAUUAGCGUUUUAGUGUGGACAUGUAUUGUAAAUCGAUAUAAUGUAUUGUAAGAUAAUAAAAUGUAAUGUAAUGCAAGUAUAGUAGAGUUAUGUCAUGUAUUAGUACUGUGCUUGGCCCUAAGACUUGGUUAGUCCCUUUUUAGUACAUGAUGUAUGUAUGGUUUAAUGUUGAGUUGAGUUUGAACCAAACUUGUGGCAUGUGUUGUUUACCACGCUAGAGUAUUUGAUGAGGACCCUAGUGGAGGUCCUAUGCUUAUGGUCUUUAAUGCAUGCACAGGUUAGUUUUGGUUCGUUGGAUGUGACUCCGGCUUGAUGUAUGUUGUGUUGACCCAGCUAAAGUUUUGAUGAGGGCUCUAGUAGAGGUUCUUUAUAUUUCCAGUUAUGUUGCAUACAGGUCAAGCUCGGUAUAUACAUCUUAUGUCUAAGUUUCUAUGUUUAAGUUUUUAUGUUAAAGUUUUGAUCAUGUAUGAGAUUUGACCAGGUGAUAGGACGUAUGUUUGGCUUGCUACAGGUCCCGGCGGCCUUAAGCCGAUCUGGAUCCUAGCGCCGGUAGCGGUUCGGGCCGUUACAGAGGGGUAUCGGUUUCCGGGUCGUUACAUUUGCCAACGCCAUUAACAGUCUAGCCUCACUACAAUGGAAUAUAUCUAGCCCCUGGCCGUUCUCACAUUGGGAAAUCGACAUUCCGGGUCAUUUCCUAAAAACUGUGAGGCAGAAGAGGUUCAUCAUGAUAGUAGCUGUAGAAUACUUCUCCAAUUGGCCUGAGGCAGAAGUCGAUACCACUGGGGCAACAUUAUAUCAGACAAUGGCAAAUAGUCUAAUUGCAAGUCCUUCAAGAAUUUCACGAGAAAUAUGGGCAUAUGGCACAAGUUCUCCUCGGUUGCUUACCCCAAACGAAUGGAUAGACAGAGGUGACGAACUGAGCUAUAUCCUUCAAGGAUUGAAAAAAUGGCUGAAUGGAGCAAAAAAGAAUUGGGCAGCUGAGCUGAACAAUAUCAUAUGGGCAUUCCGAACUACACCGCGAAGGUACAAGAGAGACACUGUUUGCAUUAGCAUUUGCAACCGAAGCGAUAAUCCCCCAUAGAGCUGCAGAUCCCCCUCUUUCCGAGUCCAAUUCAACAACGAGAAUACCAACAAGGAGAAGCUGAGAAGCAACUUGGAUGCUCUGGAGGAAAUAAGAGAAGAGGCUCAAAUACGUACCGCUGCUUCUCAGCAGAAGGCAGCUCGAUACUACAAUCAGAAGGUCUGAGAAGGGAGCCUGAAAGCGGAAGACUUGGCCUUGAGGAGAUUAGAAGCAACCAAAAGAGAGCAGUUAUGGGCAAACUGGCAGCAAUAUGAGAAGGCCCCUUCAGGAUAGCUAUAGUCAUCAAGCCUGGGGUAUACUGAAUUGAAGACCUUCAUGGCAACUUGGAGCCUCACGCCUGAAGGAAAUCAGAGAAGAGGCUCAAAUACGUACCACUGCUUCUCAGCAGAAGGCAACUCCUGAAAGCGGGAGACCUGACCUUAAGGAGAUUAGAAGCAACCAGUAAGAGAGCAGCUAUGGGCAAACUAACACCAAUAUGGGAAGGCCCCUUCAGGAUAGCUAUAGUCAUCAAGCCUGGAGUAUACUGUAACGACCCGAAAAUCGGACCGCUACCGGCGCUAGGAUCCAGGUCGGCUUAAGGCCGCCGGGACCCGUAGCAAGCCUGACAUGCAACCUGUAAACCUGUUUAAUCCCAUACAUGAUCAACAAUAUACAUAAUAAUUUAAAACUUUUCUUUCAUUCAAACACCAAACUCAACCUGUGCAUGCACUGAACAUAGACGUAAUCAUAAACAUCGACCCCUCUGUGGGAUCUCAUCAAUGCCCCAAUGGGCAAAUACAACAUAUGUUGAGUUGGUUUACAUAAAUAUCAUAAAAGAUCUAGGAUCAUGCAUUAAAAGGGAUACCUUACACAUAGGGUCAAGCACAACCUCUAAUCCUCAAUAUCAUUACAUUAUAUAACUAUUCAUAACUUUACAUUUUAUCAUGUCCACAUUCUAUUUAUUACAUACAAUGACUUCAAUACUCUUGCUGACCUCCUGGUCUACCCUGUACCUGCAAACCUGGGGAAUUUGGGAGAGGGGUGAGCUACUAGAGCCCAGUGAGCAGAAUAAUAAAACAUUUAAAACAUAUGCUAUCAUGAAAUGCAUCACAUCACAACUAAUCAUAUCAAGGAUGAACUUGUCACCAU
rnacentral:lncRNA from 1 species